ensembl:lncRNA
UUUUGGGGUCCCAUAAUUUUGGGGUCCCAGUUUUGGUGUACCGUCUUUUUAAGGUCCCAUUGCUUUGAGAUCCUGAAGUUUUGGGGUCCCAUAAUUUUGGGGUCCCAUUGUUUUGGGAUCCCAUAAUUUUGGGGUCCCUCUCUUUCGGUGCCCCAUUUUUUGGGAUCCCAAUUGUUUGGGACCACACAUUUUGGGGGUCCCUCUCUUUGGGGUUCCCACUUUUUAGGGUUUCCUCUUUUGGGGGGUUCCCCUCUUUGGAGUCCCACUUUUGGGGUCUCUCUCUUUGGGGUCCCACUUUUUGGGGGGGUUCCACUCUUUGGGUCCCACUUUUGGGGUCCCACUUU